CGGCUGAGUGUUUCUUCCCUCACAGAGAGCAGGGGAGAUGGAAAGUUGGCGGUGACCUGGCCCCCGCGGAGACAGGCCUCAGAGAACGGCCUGGAGAAGGAGCGCAGACCCUGAGGUCUGUGAAGGUUGGGGCCUGCGGCCAGAAGUAACAUGCCCUUUGGAGAACCAGGGUAGGGUUAUCCUCCAGAUCAGCAGAAGGCCUAGAGAGGGAAGGCCCAGCUUUCUUUAAUGGAAACUUGAAAUUCAGCCCAUCCCUGAUACUGACUAUGGAAUUAACCACCUCUCUCCAUAAAAGUGUUUAGUCUUCCCUGGAAAAUAGACCACCGCCCGCAAAACCUGAGUGAAACAUACAAUAAAGUUCUCCUCCCUUUUCCUGGGCUUUAGUGCAAACUGUUUUCUACUGGGUCCUCCUUAGUCUGGGUGAGGCGGAGGCUGGCAGGUGAAGGACACUUGGGAAAGCCACCAGCGGAUCGCACCGGAAUGUUGGAAUUCAAAAAGCGCUCUGGUCUCCUUGUUCUGGACUGAUUGCUGACCUGGGCCUGGAGGCCAGGGCCCUACUGCCCCCUGGUGGUGAGAGCACAAAAUGUUGCUUACACAGACUCCACUCUGGUAUCCAGAUGUCAGUUUUUAUAGGCGCCAAAAGCAUCUUGUGCUUAGGGCGCCGCUAGACCUAGGUGCUAUGAAGUUGUGUCCCCUGCUCUACGGAUAUAAAAAAGUGUAGAGAUACCUGGGGUGGACUAAAGGGAUGCUUUAAGGGAAAGUGCUUGCUACUCUUGGAAAUGACCCGAGUUCAGUUCCCCAAAUCUACAUGGG
rnacentral:lncRNA from 1 species